rnacentral:rRNA from 1 species
GACGAACGCUGGCGGCGUGCCUAAUACAUGCAAGUAGAACGCAGUUGCGAACGGGUGAGUAACGCGUAGGUAACUGCCUCAUAGCGGGGGAUAACUAUUGGAAACGAUAGCUAAUACCGCAAACUGUGAGAUGGACCUGCGUUGUAUGAGGUAGUUGGUGAGGUAAAGGCUCACCAAGGCGACGAUACAUAGCCGACCUGAGAGGGUGGUGGGCCAAACUGGGACUGAGACACGGCCCAGACUCCUACAGGAGGCAGCAGUAGGGAAUCUUCGGCAAUGGGCCGAAGUCUGAGCGAGCAACGCCGCGUGAGUGAAGAAGGUUUUCGGAUCGUAAAGCUCUGUUGUUAGAGAAGCGUUAACUAACCAGAAAUGGACGGCUAACUACGUGCCAGCAGCCGCGGUAAUUC